rnacentral:rRNA from 1 species
CACGUAGUUAGCCGUGGCUUCCUCCUCAGGUACCGUCAUUAUCGUCCCUGAAGGCAGAGCUUUACAACCCGAAGGCCGUCAUCACUCACGCGGCGUUGCUGCAUCAGGGUUUCCCCCAUUGUGCAAUAUUCCCCACUGCUGCCUCCCGUAGGAGUCUGGGCCGUGUCUCAGUCCCAAUGUGGCCGAUCACCCUCUCAGGUCGGCUACGCAUCGUCGCCUUGGUGAGCCGUUACCUCACCAACUAGCUAAUGCGCCGCGGGCCCAUCUCAUAGCGGAUUACUCCUUUAAUUGCUACUUCAUGCGAAGCUACAAUCUUAUGCGUAUUAUCUCCUUUCGGAAGCUAUUCCCCUCUAUGAGGCAGGUUGCCCACGUGUUACUCACCCGUCCGCCGCUAGCUUUGUUCCGAAAAACUCCACUCGCUCGACUUGCAUGUGUUAGCACGCCGCCAGCGUUCGUCCUGAGCCAGGAUACGAAACUCUUA